rnacentral:rRNA from 1 species
ACUCCUACGGGAGGCAGCAGUGGGGAAUAUUGCGCAAUGGGGGAAGCCCAUCGACGCAGCAACGACCGCGUGGGUGGAUGAAGGCCAGCUUUGGGUCGUAAAGCCCUGUCCUGAGGGAAGAAUCCCAUUCCCGCUAAUAUCGGGGAUGGAUGACGGUACCUCUGAAGAAAGCACCGGCUAACUCCGUGCCAGCAGCCGCGGUAAUACGGAGGGUGCAAGCGUUGUUCGGAAUCACUGGGCGUAAAGCGCGCGUAGGCGGCCUGUCGUGUCGAGUGUGAAAGCCCUCGGCUCAACCAGACGGAAGUGCAUUCGAGACUGGCAGGCUUGAGUUCGGUAGAGGAGAGUGGAAUUCCGGGUGUAGAGGUGAAAUUCGUAGAUAUCCGGAGGAACACCAGUGGCGAAAGCGACUCUCUGGGCCGACACUGACGCUGAGGUGCG